GACGAACGCUGGCGGCGUGCUUAACACAUGCAAGUCGAACGGAAAGGCCCUGCUUUUGUGGGGUGCUCGAGUUGCGAACGGGUGAGUAACACGUGAGUAACCUGCCCUUGACUUUGGGAUAACUUCAGGAAACUGGGGCUAAUACCGGAUAGGAGCUCCUGCUGCAUGGUGGGGGUUGGAAAGUUUCGGCGGUUGGGGAUGGACUCGCGGCUUAUCAGCUUGUUGGUGGGGUAGUGGCUUACCAAGGCUUUGACGGGUAGCCGGCCUGAGAGGGUGACCGGCCACAUUGGGACUGAGAUACGGCCCAGACUCCUACGGGAGGCAGCAGUGGGGAAUAUUGCACAAUGGGCGGAAGCCUGAUGCAGCAACGCCGCGUGCGGGAUGACGGCCUUCGGGUUGUAAACCGCUUUCGCCUGUGACGAAGCGUGAGUGACGGUAAUGGGUAAAGAAGCACCGGCUAACUACGUG
rnacentral:rRNA from 1 species